AUUUAUGAAUUUUAUAUCCAUUUAGGAUGUCUUCAUGUGCAGAUUGCAAGUCUCUAUUAGACAACUUUUGCUCAUGGGCAACCUCCAAUAUCUGCCUCCAGGAGGUCAUGAAGGAUAAAGAUCAUAUAACUAGAUAACCAUAAGACACUGGAUUCCUGUCUAAAGAACAAUGUUUUGAUUUGACUCAACCACAGACCUGGUAGAGAUCCUGCUGUCUACAGAUCCUGAGUCAACAUGAGAGUUCAUUUUCAAUGAAAUGCUGCAAUGAUUCCCUUUGAAAUGUAUCAUUUUAAAUGCUACUAUGGGGGAUUUGUUAAAUAAAAGUUUUACAACAUAUAUGAAAAAAUGUGAUU
rnacentral:lncRNA from 1 species